rnacentral:lncRNA from 1 species
CUUCGAUUUUUGAGAAAGUAAUCCUGUUGGGAGUCUACCUCCGAGAUUCGGAGAGUGGUUCCUCUUCGAUUUUUGAGCAAGCAAUCUCGUUGGGAGUGUUUUCUCGAAUGUGAGUAAAGGUUGGGCAUUUUUGCCAGUCUGCCUUGCCAUGGAGCAUGGAGGUUGACACACAUUGGGACUUUCUAGUUAUCAAGCAGUGGUGUUGUUCCUUUACCAUUAUGGGUAAUAGUAGGGUAGCUGGACCUUCAAAAUUUAUAAGUCUAAACUUUGUCAAAGAUCUUUGGCAAAGUUAUCUGCGGUACCCUAGGAGCUGAUGUUGCGUGUGGAAAGUGGUGCCUCUUUGAAAUCCAGAGAGUGGUGCCUCUUCGGAAUCCGGAGAGUGUUGCCUCUUCGAUUUUUGAAUCAACAGCCCUACUGCCCUUUCUAUUAUAAGGGCACCAAUUGUGUGCAAGGAGUACAUUUAGAGAGUAAUUGCUUGUAGGAAUUUU